CUUGCAAUAUCAAAAAUUCGUGGGAGGUGGGGUGGUUUUGAGACUUUGGAAAAGUGGGUUAGUGGAGCUUAUGCAGGUCAUACUGCUGUUGCUUAAGGGACUCUGAAGGAAAAUUGUGGGUUGGUGAAUCAGGACAUGAAAAUGAACAGGGGGAAGAUAUUAUUGCUGUGUUACCGUGGGAUGAAUGGUGGGAAUUUGAGCUGACUAAGGAUGACUCUAAUCCACAUAUU
rnacentral:misc_RNA from 1 species